GCUCAAUCAGGGUCUGAUCUGAUUAGAUUGGGUUCAACCAAAUUGCUUUGUUUUAAUCUAGGUUUGACCAAAUUUGAUUAGGUGCAACCCAAGAGGAUUAGGCUCAGAUGAUGUGGCAAUUAGUGGUGACAUGGAAUUAGAUUUCAUGAAUUUUAAAUAAACCAAAAUUAUUGCAUGGCACAUGGAUCCAUUGCUUGACACAUGGCGACAUUGUUUGUUGUUUGAAUUUGAAUUCAAACAUUAAGCAAUAUAUAAAAUGAUUUCAUACAUCAAAUAACUUUCCUAGUUGGCGUGUGAACCUCUGAAUCAUUUAAAUUCAAAUUUCAAAUGAAAUAUAUGCGGCAAAAGGAAGGAAAAUUCUGCUGCAUGGAUUUCAAAUUCCUCCCCUCUUGCAC
rnacentral:lncRNA from 1 species